AUAAUAAAAGCAUGAGAACCCAUUGUCAAUAACAACAAUGUUACUUGAUUUUAUUUGGUUUAUCGGUUAAAUCUCGACAGGGCCAACAGCUUGCUGAUAUUUCAAAGCAUACUAUCAUUCCCAAUCACCAAAAUAAAAACUAAUUGAUAUUAACUUUGGUUAACUAGUUGACUGUCCAAAGAACAAAUGGGCCACCAACUUGUAUCUUUGCUUGACUGUUACAAACGCGGCUAACCAUUUCCUAUUCCUUUAAAUGCCGCUAAAUCUGACUUAUGCAUUUGCUUUUGCCAAAGUUGAAAUCAACUUAGCGUCAAAGCUAAAACCCUCAACAUUUAGGGUCAGUCUGCAAACGCACAACCAUCAACUAAAUCCCAAAUAAAAAGUAUUCAUUGAAGCGAUUCAAGUGAUAAAAGUGCUAUAGCUAGGAAACUGAGAAUCUACAGCUAACUCAAAAUCAUGCACACUAACAAAUCUACUAUACCUGGAG